CCCAAAGGACUUGGCGGUGCCUCACACCCACCUAGAGGAGCCUGUUCUUGAAUCGAUAAUCCCCGUUCAACCUCACCACCCCUUGUUCGACCCGCCUAUAUACCGCCGUCGUCAGCUCACCCUGUGAAGGCCCUAAAGUGAGCAGAAUGGGUACAACCCAAAACGUCAGGUCAAGGUGCAGCGUAUGGGGUGGGAAGAAAUGGGCUACAUUACCUGCCUCAGGUCACUACGGAAGGGGCUGUGAAACCAGCCCCCUAAGGUGGAUUUAGCAGUAAGGAGGAAGUAGAGAGCCCUCCUGAAGCCGGCUCUGAGGCGCGCACACACCGC
rnacentral:rRNA from 1 species